AGGCCAUUAGCUCAACGGCAGAGCAUCCGGCUUUUAACCGGACGGUUCAGGGUUCAAGUCCCCGAUGGCCUACCA
rnacentral:tRNA from 1 species